rnacentral:rRNA from 1 species
CGGAGUAGCGGUAAAAUGCGCAGAUAUUGGGAGGAACCCCGAUGGCGAAGGCAGCUCCCGUGGGAUGCACAUGACGCUUCGUGGCGAAAGGUAUGGGAGGCAACCGGAUUAGAGACCCUUGUAGUCCCAGCCGUUAACGCUUGCUGCUACGUGUGGGAGGUCGACGUUCUGUGUGUGAGCAAACGCGAUAAGCAUCCCGCGCGGGAGUUACGGUCUCAAGGGUAAAAAUCUAAAGAAAAGAGGGGGCGCCGCACACGCACGGGAGAGCAUGGUUCAAUUUGAUGCUACACGAAGAACCUUACCUGGGUUUGACACAUAUUUGGUACGAAGGGGAAAGCCUAACGUCCCUUUGGGGAGCGUACACACAUGUGGCACGGGGGUGUUCAGAUCGUGCCCUGAGGUGUCGGGUUAAGUGUCGUAACGAGCGCAACCCUUGCCUUUAGUUACAAGUGUAUAAGGGGAUGGCACUCGGGAAGCCGGAGGAAGGUGGGGAUGACGUCAAGUCAGCAUGGCCUCAAUGUCCAGGGCUCCUCACACGCUACAAUGGUCAGUACAAACAGUAGGGAAGUCACGAGGCGGAGACAAUCUCAACAAAGGUGAUUGUAGUUAGGAUUGCAGCAGGCAGGAUCGGAGCAUGAAAUUGGAGUCGGUAGUAUCCGAAUCUCUAGUAAUAGUGCGGUGAAUAAUUACCCGGGAAUUGUACACACGGCCCGUCACGUCAUGGGAGUCGGUAACAUGGAAAGCGGGGCACCGGAAGCUAAGGGCCGGCGCGGUCGAAGGCGGGUCCGGCAACUGGGACGAAGUCGUAACAAGGUAACCAAGGGCGAA